rnacentral:rRNA from 1 species
AUGAACGCUGGCGGCAGGCCUAACACAUGCAAGUCGAACGGUAACAGGAAGAAGCUUGCUUCUUUGCUGACGAGUGGCGGACGGGUGAGUUAUGGCUGGGAAAAUUGGCCUGAUGGAGGGGGAUAACUACUGGAAACGGUAGCUAAUACCGCAUAACGUCGCAAGACCAAAGAGGGGGACCUUCGGGCCUCUUGCCAUCGGAUGUGCCCAGAUGGGAUUAGCUAGUAGGUGGGGUAACGGCUCACCUAGGCGACGAUCCCUAGCUGGUCUGAGAGGAUGACCAGCCACACUGGAACUGAGACACGGUCCAGACUCCUACGGGAGGCAGCAGUGGGGAAUAUUGCACAAUGGGCGCAAGCCUGAUGCAGCCAUGCCGCGUGUAUGAAGAAGGCCUUCGGGUUGUAAAGUACUUUCAGCGGGGAGGA